UCCUCUUUCUCUCUAUGCAAGGCUCUCACUUGUGUUGACUCUGUGGAGGUCUGGAACGCAUAGUAAUCAUGUCAAACUCGGUUGCAAGACUGAACCUGUGUACUUCUGAGCUCACUGAAAGCAAGUGUGGCUGAGCAUGGUCAAGUCCGAAGUUUGCAAGACGAACUAAUAUGAACCGAACAUCCUUGAGCUCCGUAGCCGUCUUAUGGGGGAGUGAAGUUUAUUCGAGGUUAGUGGAUCCGAAUUCCACGCAGCAGUCCAUCUCUUUUGACGGCUCCUGAGAAGUGAAACCACAUGGUCCUGAUGAGUUCCUAGAACUUGGCUGGAGCCCAACACCAACCAAGGAUCGUCAACACAUGUUGAGAAUGGAAGAUUGCUGCCUUCUGUUAAUGCUGCUCCCGCCCAAUCUAAAGGGAUGCCUGGUUAACGUUAAGUCUGAGUUCUUGGGCCUUCCACUUGGUUGUCCUGCAACUGUUGUGGCAAAAUUCUGGGGAACCAGUCUCUGCCACCAUAACUGCCUCCUUUGAUGGUUUUCCAGUUGAAUGGAGAUUAUUCUGGAGGUGUCCUGUGUUUUGGAUGUGCUUGUCUUUGAUGGGAGCGGUUCAGAAGCAUGCCAUUGGUGAAUUCCUGUGAUGUGAUUGCAAUGGAUUUUGCAGUAUUUGAAUAAAAUCCCAUGAAAUAUG